GAUCAGGAGAGGGGCAGAGAGAGAGUGAGAGAGAGAGAAUCCCAAGCAGGCUCCAUACUAUCAGCACGGAGCCUGACACGGGGCUUGAACUCACGAACCGUGAGACCAUGACCUGAGCCAAAAUCAAGAGUUGUACACCUAACCAAUUGAGCCUCCUAGACCCCCCAAGAUGUUUUAAAUCCCCAAGGAGACAGUGAGGAUAUUUUUAAGACCAGAUGGUAAUUACCUUUGAACUUGAAUGUGUUUGAAAGCAACUACAAAAGCAUUGGAAACAUAAAAGAGCAUAGUAACAUAUGUAUUCGGAGAACAGUGAAAAGGACAGUUUUCCUGGAGUAUGGAGUCUAUGUGGGCAGGAGUUGGAGUAGAUGAGGACAGACAGGUAGGUCAGGUCCAGGUUGGUAAAGGUCUGGAAUAUCACCUGAAGGAAUGUGUUUUCAUCUUUGAAGGAGUGCUUGCAGAGGAUUUUUAAAAAUAAAUGUGCUGGGCCUAGGUUUGCUUUUCAGAAUGGCCACUCUGGUGUAGACAAUGGAAUGGUAGAACAUGAGAUUAGAGGUGGCAGUCAAUCCAGUUCUAAAACAAUCACAGUAAUCCAGCAGAAGGCUGUGGCAGUGGGGAUGCCUCCCUACAAAGCAAUGGCAGUUGAAGGGGCUUGAACUACUGUUGUAAGGAUUUCUGGUGCCAUGGGCCAAAUGUGGGAACUGUCCCCUACAAGUCUUACCCUCCCUUAAAGACCACCUCCUUCAUAAAUCCACUCUCAAUCCAUUAUCACUACCCCCACCAUACCCCACCCCCAUCUCUCUUCCUUCUCUGUGGCUCCAGCAGGCUGUAUGCUCUCUACAAUAAAACUAAUCAUUUGACUUUGUAAUCAGGGCAUUCAUUCUCAAAUUGUUUUUUUUUCUUCUUAUAUCCAUUCAUAUUUUUUAAAUUGAGAUUCAAGUUAGUUAACAUAUAGUGUAGUAUUGGUUUCAGGAGUAGAAUAUAGUGAUUCAUCACUUAUAUAUAACACCCAGUGCUCACCCCAACAAGUGCCCUCCUUAAUGCCCAUCACCCAUCUAGCCCAUCCAGCCUCCCACCUCCCCACUAUCAACCCUCAGUUUUUUCUUUGUAUUUAAGGGUCUUUUACGGUUUGCCUCCCUCUCUGCUUUUAUCUUAUUUUUGCUUCCCUUCCUCUAUAUUCAUCUAUUGUGCUUCUUAAAUUCCACAUAUGAGUGAAAUGAUGAUAUUUGUCUUUCUCAGAUUGACUUACUUAGUUUAGCAUAAUACACUCUAGUUCCAUCCACAUUGUUGCAAAUGGCAAGAUUUAAUUCUUUUUCAUCACUGAGUAAUAUUACAUUGUGUGUGUGUGUGUGUGUGUGUGUGUGUGUAUCCAUUCAUCAUCAGUUGAUGGACAUUUGGGCUCUUUCCAUACUUUGGCUAUUGUUAUAGCAUUGCUAUAAAUAUUGGGGUGCAUGUGCUCCUUCAUAUCAGUAUUUUUAACUCCUUUGGAUAAAUACCUGGUAGUGCAAUUGCUGGGUCAUAGGGUAGUUCUAUUUUUGAACUUUUUGAGGAACCUCCAUACUGUUCUCCAGAGUGGCUGCACCAGUUUGCAUUCCCACCAACAGUGCAAAAGGUGCUGGGAAAACUGGACAGUAGCAUGCAGAAGAAUGAAAUUGGACCACUUUCUACACCAUACACAAAAAUAAAUUCAAAAUGGGUGAAAGACCUAAAUGUAAUAUAGGAAGCCAUCAGAAUUCUGGAGGAGAAAACAGUCAGCAACUUCUUUGACCUCGGCUACAGCAACUUCUUACUAGACAUGUCUCUGGAGGCAAAGGAAACAAAAGCAGAAAUGAACUACUGGGACCUCAUCAAGAUAAAAAGCUUCUGCACAGCAGAGGAAACAAUCAGAAAAACUAAAAGGCAACUGGCCAAAUGGCAGAAGAUAUUUGCAAAUGACAUUUUGGAUAAAGGUUUCCAUGGAGUAAAACACUCAGCUAGACAUAUACUAGGUGCUCAGUAGGCAUCGGACUUGGAGCCGAGGAGACCUUCCUGUCCAUCUUCUCUUCCUACAAUGCUACCAACUCCAGCCUUCCCCAAGGAGGCUCAUGAUUGGCCUAUGACAAAGGUAAUAUGUGCUCAAAAAAAUUGAGAGAGACAUCCAGAAGAAAACACAAAUGUCUUGAAAUCCUAACUCCCAGAGCCAAUCACCGUCAACCUUUGUAUAAGCAUUCUUCUGAUCCCUUUCUUCCCACACAACUACUUGUGGAGAUGUGGCUACUCUGAGGUACAUGCUGUGAUCCUUUACCUGCCAUUUGGCCUUCAUAGUGUGUUGUGGACAGCUCUUCGUGUCAUUGCAUAUAUACGUGUAGCUGGGUAUUCAUCCCCUUCAGUGGCUGCAUAGCAUUGCACUUUACCAGCAUGUUAUCCUCUAUUUACCCCAGUCCACUAUUGAUAACUGGGUUGUUUCCAGAUUUACAUUAUUCUAUGCAACACCAAAGUCAAAUAACCUUCUGUUACAUCUUUGCAAACUUGUCAGGCUAUCUUUUAUGGAUAAAUUCCUCGCAGUGGCAUUGAUGGAGCAAAUGGUGACGUUCAAGUCAUCUAAAAUAUGUUAUUUCCUUUAAACUCAUGAUACUUCUGAAUCAUUUUUAACUAAAUGCCAAAUGCAGUGAAUUGAUCUUAGAAAAGUAAUUGACAACAUUUUCUAAAAGCUUCCCCAGGCCUGUGAGGAAGAUUGAUGAUACUGGGAUGUGGGGUUCCCUUUAACUUCUUCAUUUUCACCCAAGUCUCUAUUGUUUUUACUUCUUCUGUGCCUCCCUCACAGAUUGAUGACUUUCCCCAUUUUAGAACUGAACCCCUUAGCAUUCACCAUUUGUAUUUUAGGUCGUCUCAAAUUAGUACACAGGUAAUGGCAACAGAUAAUAACAAUAGCAAACACUUGUAUGGCAUGUACAGUGUGUCAGGCAUGCAGUUGUAUGUACUUUUCAAAUAUAGCUGAGUUCAUCUUAUAAAAAGUCUUAGGUAGAAAUUGCCAACAUCUCCAUUUCACUGGUGAAGAAACGUAGGCCCUAAAAGACUAAAUGAUUUGUUCAAAUUCAGACAGCAAAUAUGUGGUUGAGCCAGGAAUAAAACCUGUGCAGUUUGGCUCCAGAAGCUUACAGGUUCAUCUAAGCCAAUGUGCCUUCCCUUGCCAGUUCACAAAGGUGGUAGACACAGGUGCUCCAUGCCCUAGCUACUCAACUUCUGUGAGCAGCCAGUCAUAAUCCCUUCCUCCCCCAGCAUCUCAGUUGAAUUAAGAUGUGGAAGUUACCUGUGUUCAUUUGGUAGGAUGUAAGCCUCUUCUUGUGUUUGAAUGAACCCUCUAGAACUAAUACAAGAUCCUGCUUUCUACAUCUCUCUUUCCCCUCCCUAUUGUUCAAGGCCAAGUUCACCAUACUCAUUCUGGAACAAAAGUCUCUUCUGGUUCUUUAUUCAAGGCAGUGGGCAAUUUUGCAUAGGACCUUGAUUCUUUCAUGCCGUUCUAGACUUCAGGGCUGGAGGAAACUGGGAUUUCUCCCUUCCUUGUUUGUAAAUAAUGUCUCUUGUUGGCAGAGUUUGUUUUAAUCAUAAAAGUAUGUUGUGUUGGUUGCAGAAAAAAAAUUUAACAGACAGAAAAGUAUAAAGAAGCAAAUAAAAUCACUUGUUAGAGGAAAGCAC